CUCAGAUCUCUGGAUCUUAUUCUCUGCCCCUCAAACACAUUGCAGAGAAGAAUAUACACACAGAAGGUGAUGGGAGCAAACUGAAAAGAGUCUGCAAUUCCAACUACUGGAGUCAAAGAGUAGCUGAAAAGAUCUCUGAGAAGAGUCAUGGAAUCAGGAUCCUGGAGAAAUAGUACAGAAGCUGUGCCUCGGUUCCUGGAUGAAUUGAGCAUUUGUUGCCCUGGAAAAAGAAUCCAUCCUGUGGGGAUGUCAAUGGCAGCUGAAUGAAGACCAGAAAGGAUGAAGAAUUGCAGAUCGAGCCCUGGCCCCAGUUGGAUGGGAUUUCAACCAAGCGUGGAGAUUUUAAUGCCAAUCACUAUUGAGAACCAUUGCAGUCUAUAUUUAAAAAUGGAUAUCAUCAUCAAUAAGGGGUUCUGAUAUAAACAAGAUAAAGCUGAAAAAUCUAAGAAUGAAGAAAGGUACAGAAGCCACCCUGCCCUAGACUAAUGAAGGCUAAAUAAUUCUGCAUGGGGCAUCUGGAAAAAGUGAGAGAGAGAGAGAGACAGGGCAUUGUUCAGAACCAGAUACUCAGAGACAAUGUCUUAAAGGUGAGGACAACAGAGUUAGACUUUCUCUGACGCUGACUUACAGUGGCAAGGCAUACGUGGCCAGUUCUCUACAAUGGAGACAGCACCCAGAGAGAAAGAUUCCAGAACCAAGUGACAUGGAGUGGGACAUUUACUGAAGAAUAGAAAAUCAAAACUAGGGAAGCAGAGACAAGACAAGGACCCAGUGGUGAGAAAAAAGGCCAAAAAGGUAAGGAAUCAGGUCGAUGGAAGAAGUGACUCAGGACUGAGGUGUAAAUGAUGAGGGUUUGAUCAUGCUUUGUAUGUGUUCUAGGAGUGGUUGUUGCCACUUAAAAAUAGAUACAAUUUAUGCAAAAAAAUCUAGAAUCAGAAUCAAGGCAACAAAUCUGCUGCAAUGGCUUAGUGCAAGCAGCAACAAAGAUGAACAGAACAUCUAUUUCUAUCGAAGACCUUGGUCUUCCGAAUAGCUGCUCUUGAGACUCGUGUCCUAGGUAUCAGCAGUGGCAAUUAAUGGAGGCAACAUGGAAUAAGCAACAAGUUUUCCAGUAAGUGGACACUGUAGCCUCAGGAGUUAGAUGCUGAGUCAGAAGGAUGAAGUCACUCCACCGGAAUCACCAUACCCAAGUCUAGACCUCAGCAAUACCAUGAAGUUCUUUUGAUGAAGAAAAGGGACAUGAUUUGUUGGUUGUUAUUCCUGUUGUUACAUGGUCAUGUUAGUUAUCUAUUGCAGCAUAAUAAAUAACCGCCAAAGCUUUGUACUUAAAAUAAAAAACAUUUAUUAUGUCACAGAAUCUCUGAGGAUCAGGGAUCUAGGCAUGGCUUAGCCAGGGCUUCUGGCUUGGGAUAUCUUAUAUGGUUGCACUAACAGGUUUUGGCCAAGGCUGAGGUCACCUAAAGACUUGACUGGGAUAAAGGAUCUGUUCUCAAGCUUAUUGCUGGCAGAGGUCUCAGUGCCCACCAUGAGGGUCUCUCCAUAGGGUUACUUACAACAUGGUAGCUGGCCUCCCCUAGAGAAAGAGACAGAGAGAGAAAGAAGCAUAACUAAGACACAUCUUUUAUAACCUAACCUCUAAAGUUACCUACCAUAUUAUGCCAUAAAAUGCCAUCACCCUUGCCAUAUUAUGUUUGUCACAGGGCAAACUUGGUACAAUGUGGGAGGAGUGAUAUAAAUACCAGGGUAUAAAUACCAGGAGGUAGAAGUCCAUCUCAGAGACUGGCUACCACAUGGUUAUUGCUGUUAUCUUUGUUUAUAAUUUAUUUGUUGUCUCAAAAACAUCUACAUUGUAGAAAUGAAGAUACUGGGAUUCUGAAAGACUUUGAACAAGGUCAUGUUGCUGGUAAGUUGUUCUUAGUUGCUGGGGUAUUCUUGGUCAUGGUGGCUUGGAACUCACUGACUGUUCAUAAAUCUUCUUUUAUUACUCAGUGGAAGUUCUACAAAACUGCAGUAGAAUAAGAAAGACAUGGACUGGAAGGUUUUCUUAAUCUGCUUGAGCCUGGCUAGCAUACCUGGCUUGAGCCCACCUUCUUAUAAGAAAGUUUUCUUGGGCCAUAAGGAAGCAGCUUGAUUGAAUCUAUUGUCCAUGCCAUAAAUCAAAACUAUUCUGUGUCUCUAUUGAUUCUCAGAAUAAGGCCAACAGGAUUAAAACCUCAUUCCAUCUUCUAUCUGAAUGAAGUAGGAUUUAAUGCUGUUUAAGCUCUGAGGCUAAAAUAUGCAUGUGAUUAGAAUUAUAAAGACAUAAUUAUAGGAUGACAAAAUUUAGGAGCAGAAAUGUAUUUAGAAAAUUGAUGAGAGAUGGAGAGAAGAAAAUGACAAGAAAAUGAGAUAUAAAAUAUAAGAAAAGGCGUGUGUAAGGGGAAGAAAGAUGCAGCCAAUUGCUUCAAGUGACACAUGGUGUAGACCAUCUCACUCUUGGAGUGAAGCCUCGGUUUAUUCCUGCCAGUCUUCUGUAUUUGACCCUUAUUUUAUGACACAUUCUUUACAAAUAACCUCUUUGAUUCCAUUUUUUUUUUAUUAAAUGAGAAAUAGCAUUAAAAAUUUUAAAUGCCCUCAGCCAUUUUAAUCCCUUCUCAUGGGAAUUUGUAUGCAUCCUGCCUCCGGCUACUUCAUGCAAAUAUAGGAAAUUCUGUGUUUCUUAUUUUGAUAUUCUGUAUCAGACAAUAAUUUUUCCUUUUUUUCUACAAAUGGUAAUGUAUUGUUCAUAUAAUUCUACAUGUUAACUUUUCUAAUCGAUAACAUUUCUUGGAGAUCUUUAUAUUGGUACAACACAAGAGGUUUCUUGUUCUUUUUAAACAGAUGAAUAGUAUACCAUUUUAGUCAUUUGAAAUCUUCUGCUAUGUAACCACUGACCCAAGGUAUGACCUUAUACACAUUAAAUUUUACAGGCAAGUGUGAGUAUAAGCAUAGGAUAAAUUGUUAGAAGCAGAAUUGUGGGUCAAGCGGUAGGUGCAUUUAUAGUCUUGGAAGAUUUUGCUAGAUUGUUUUCUUAGAGUUGGCACUAGUUUCUGUGUCUAUCAGCGCUGUGUGAAAGUGUCUAGCCAUUCACAAUCUUGCCAGUACAGUAUGUAUGCAAAUAUUUGAGUUCUUUUCAUGCUGAUAAGUAAAAAUGGUAUCUCAA